UGUGUGUGUGUCUAACAGGGCUAACAGUGUUUACAGACAGACAGCAGUGACCUCAUCACGCCCUGGGUGCAUUUAGACGCGGCGUCAGACUAUCAGCAGUUACACAAACGCACGCGCACACACACACGCGCAUGCAGAGAGGCUAACACACACCUCUGCACUUUCCUUUUUCCUCUCUUUUGUUUAAAUCUCUCUCUCGGUCUGCAGGCCGUCAGCCGUAUCAUCCCAUCGACACACAGAGAUGAGCUCCGCGGCCUUUCAAAGUUUAUUGAUACCAGGAUCCUUCUUUUUUUUUUUUUCCAUUCGCAGAAAUCCUCCAAUGAUUUGCCUUAAAAAAAACAGCUGCGUCGGUUGUGGCGUGUUGUCGAGAUGAAGAAAUCUGAACCAGGAAGUCCAGUUCGAGUGACGGAUGAAUGACUUAUCAGAAACCAAAACACUGCACAGAAGGUGAACCUGCUCAGGCUGAUUGAGGAGUCGAUAAAGAGAGGAGGGGACACAAGUCUGGCUUCUUAUCCAGUCGUGGCCCGACAGCAGCAGCAGUUCAGACUGGCCAUGUGGAGCUUUGGUUGUUUGUUCUUUUUGUCUUUUCUGGUGGGUCCGGUGGUUCAGUUUUGUGGCGCUAUUUCUUCGUAGGGUUUAGUUUGGGGAAUGUCUGGGGUAGGGAAGUGGGGAGAGCCCGGUUCCGACGGCCCUGUAAGGGUUGGACCGAGGUGGCUUCCCUUCUUUUGUUCUUUUUCUGCCGGCCCAUCCGUUUGUAGUUAGUCUGGAAGGCUUUGGUUUAACUUUUGUUUGUUGAAAUAAAAUUUCUUCUAUUUUUCUCGACUUGUGUAAUUAUGUUAAACCU